ensembl:snoRNA U3 Small nucleolar RNA U3
AAGGCUACACUUUCAGGGAUCAUUUCUAUAGUAUGUUACUAGAGAAGUUUCUCUGAUCAUGUAGAGUACAAGAAACCACAAGCAGGAGGCGUAGUGUUCUUUCCUGAGUGUGAAGCUGGCUCUCAUGUUGCUAUGCCACAUGCCAUUGAUUAUUGUUUUUGCUUUCUCUUUGGAGGGAGUAAGAGGGAAGGAAUGCAGUCUGAGUGGG